rnacentral:rRNA from 1 species
UGAACGCUAGCGGCAGGCCUAAUACAUGCAAGUCGAACGAGAUUGUCCAGCUUGCUGGACAUGAAAGUGGCGCACGGGUGCGUAACGCGUAUGCAACCUACCUUUAUCUGGGGGAUAGCCCGGAGAAAUCCGGAUUAAUACCGCAUAAAAUCACAGGAUGGCAUUAUCCAAUGAUCAAACAUUUAUGGGAUGAAGAUGGGCAUGCGUGUCAUUAGCUAGUUGGCGGGGUAACGGCCCACCAAGGCGACGAUGACUAGGGGAUCUGAGAGGAUGGCCCCCCACACUGGUACUGAGACACGGACCAGACUCCUACGGGAGGCAGCAGUAAGGAAUAUUGGUCAAUGGAGGCAACUCUGAACCAGCCAUGCCGCGUGCAGGAAGACUGCCCUAUGGGUUGUAAACUGCUUUUAUCCGGGAAUAAACCACAUUACGUGUAAUGUGCUGAAUGUACCGGAAGAAUAAGGAUCGGCUAACUCCGUGCCAGCAGCCGCGGUAAUACGGAGGAUCCAAGCGUUAUCCGGAUUUAUUGGGUUUAAAGGGUGCGUAGGCGGCCUGUUAAGUCAGGGGUGAAAGACGGUAGCUCAACUAUCGCAGUGCCCUUGAUACUGAUGGGCUUGAAUGGACUAGAGGUAGGCGGAAUGAGACAAGUAGCGGUGAAAUGCAUAGAUAUGUCUCAGAACACCGAUUGCGAAGGCAGCUUACUAUGGUCUUAUUGACGCUGAGGCACGAAAGCGUGGGGAUCAAACAGGAUUAGAUACCCUGGUAGUCCACGCCCUAAACGAUGAACACUCGCUGUUGGCGAUACACAGUCAGCGGCUAAGCGAAAGCGUUAAGUGUUCCACCUGGGGAGUACGCUC